rnacentral:lncRNA from 1 species
GCAGCUCCCGCAGACACACACUCCUAUAGACAAAAGUAAUUAAGAUGAAUAAUCAGGAUUUAAAGAGCCUUUGUUUGCAUUCUUGCUAAACUCCAGGAUAAGGACACCGUUUCUGCGAGCUUUACGCCGCCGUGUGAGCCAAUUUGCUGUGUGAAUGUUAUUGUUCAAGGCUAACUAGCUAGUAAAACAAUAGGCGUGAUGUGUCAUAGCAGUAAGUGCUGCUCCGAAGAGCUAAACUCCCCACCACUAAUGAAUUCAUUAAUCUCUCUAUUUAUUCCUGACAAGCAAUUAUCUCCUGCUGCAGAAUGAGGGUCAGGAGGCAAGGUUGAAAGCUCUCACACACACCCGCCGAGGAGGAAACGUUAACCGCUGCUGUCCUCAUACACCUGCUGCUGCUCAAACUUAUUCUGCUUCGGACCGAGGAGAUCUGAUGUUUGCAAAACCAGUUCAGGCCGAAAUGGAAAUGUGACGUCCAUGAUUUUAGAGUCAGAAGUUAGAGACAGGAGGUGGUGGAAGAUUUAAAGAAGUCAAGAUCAUGAAGAAGUCUCUUAUGGGACUGAAACUGAGAUUUAGAGAUUUAUUAUAAAAUAAAAUCCUGUAACUUUGACUUGAAGUCUCACAAUUUCAACUUUACAUCUUAUUAUUUUGAUUUUCUAUCACAUUAUUUUGACUUUUCAUCCUGUGAUCAUGACCCCCUGCAGUCUCAUAAAUUUGACUUUUUUUCCCCGAACACUGUUUUUUUUUUUUCUGUCACUUUUUUAAUCUUAUAAUUUUGACUUUUUAUUUUAUCGUACUUUAUAACUGCAUACUUCCAUACAGCUCUUAAUUAUUGUAUGUUAGUCGGCUAAUGGGAGGCAGAAACAGGCAUUUGUAUAAACAAUGAUGUCGAUGUUAUCUGUGUGCGCUCAGACGUUAGCUAAUGAGCUAAUCUAUCUUCUUUGUGGCUUUAAACCAUAGACUGUAUUUACUACGGACAACUUGGCUCCGCCUUCCGCCAGUUCACGGAUUUGAAGCUGAAAAGUUCUCUGUAAUUCUGCGAUUUUUCUCCACUUCCUGACACCAGCACUUUAGUGAUGGGCACGGCAGUUCUUUCAGAUGUACUGAAUCACUAGAAUCAGUUCACUAAAAAGAUUCGUUCACCAAAUUACCGAUUCAUUUAGCGGGAGGAGCCUGUGACUCCGACCUCCUGGACUGAUACACAGAUGAACGUUCAGGAUUCAGUUCUUGUAGACGAGAGUUUUUGUCUGUGUUGCUUAAACAGGUUUAUAAAAAUGAACCUGUUUAUAAGUCAUGAUGUUUAAAGUGUCCUAUGGUAUGUAAUUUACCAGGUCUACUCAGUAAAUUGGGCUCAGUGAGUGAUUCGUUCACUGAACGUUUAGAAGAAUUCACACUGAACAUGAACCGUUCCCUCACAAACUGCUGCAAUGAUAAGAUGCUGCAGGUUUUAUCUGCUUCUUGUUCCAUACUGUGUCCUAUUGUCUGAAAGUUGUUGUGGUGGCAAUUUAGCAGUAAAAAUAAAGGUAGUUUUGUUCGACAAAAAUGAUUUCAGAGAGUGUAGUUCAAUGAGUGAUUCGUUCACCGAGUGAUUCAGGCGUCGGUGAAUGUGGUCCUUCGUUCGCCAGCUGCUGGCCUGGCAAUGCUGUUUUUCCCUUCAGCUCAACUGAAGUGAGAAAUGAACAAAUCACUCAGGUGACUCGGUUCAGUACGUUCACUUAAAAGAUUCGGUUCCUUUGAAUGAAUCGUUCGUGAAUGACACAACACUACACCACUUGCGCAGUAGCGUUGUGCGCAUUCGGCGGGAGAGUCACAUUUAUAUUCUGUGUCAUUAAUUUAUAAAGUUUGUCCACAGCUCCAUAAGGAGGCGGGAUUUAUGACCUAUACUGCAGCCCGCCACCAGAGGGCGCUGUUCUCAGAGUGGCUUCACCCAGCGAGGAGGGAGACGGCGUCCAUUUUAUACACAGUCUAUGGCAUAAACUGACAGCCCGCGUUUGGCUUGAGCGUGUGAUGACGUUUCCAGCUUUUCUAGCCAAUCAGAGGCGAAGGAGGCGGGACCUUAUCGUACCAUUCUACAAAAAAAUAUAUAUAUAUAUCGCCACCUGUGGGAUACGCUGUUUGAGCCCAGCGUCAUAUCGGAUGCGUACAACGCUAGUUAGUCCGAUUAUCGAUCAGGAGCAGAAAUAUUACGACCCUCAAACAGGAUUUGUAAAGUCCUGUCGUGAAGUUUACCGGUUUGGUGUUUACGUGGAAGAUUAACCUUUACUAAUCUAACUGUCCGUGUAAAAAUACUGUAGCUCUGCUAACAGGGAAACUGAGACCCACCACUGAUACAUGGGCGGUAAAACCAGGACCCACCGGUGAGAUUAAAGACCCUGGUGUAUCUCCACAGUGGAGGCCUCAGAUUUCCUGAGGCGUGGACUUCAUCACGCUGGGAUAAAAGCUGCAUUCAGCGGCGUUAGCAUGAAUAAUCCACCUUCCUGCUCUCAUUAAUCAUCCACCUCCACAAUAAAACUCAACUCCAACCAGCUUCCGGUGCAAUUUUCCCUUUUUCAGCUGAACGUGAAACCAAUCCGAUCAGAUUUAUUAUAACCUCCGAUUUACAUUUUUACAGGCUGAUUCUUACAUUUAACCGCCGAGACCUCCCGCCACAUUUCUGACCCUCUGCGUAAAACUUAACCGGGUCCUCCACCACCGGAGCUGGAACUCAUAAAGUUUGACCUUGCACCCACUUAUGUGUUUUUCACACAUAGCAGAGCACAAAACCUAUAAAAGGCGUGCAGUAAUGGCUGAGGACAGGCCGAACACGAUGAAAUAGGUGCACGCGGGGAACCACGGCGCUCCAUCUCGCGCCGCUCUCUGAGGGAUGACCGUCUAAACUGGAAUAAAACCCUGUUAAACGGUGUCACAACAUGAAUCACUGCCCCGGGGGACAUCCAUCACCGCUUAAAAGGUGACCACAAAUGAUCUGUGAGCCACUAGAUAUUGAUUACUCAUGUGCUGCAGGUGUCAGGUUUAAUGUUGCAGCGGCUUGAUAGCGUCGCCUCUGACAGCCGCUGCCCUAACUCUCCUCUGAUAGAUUUUAAUGGUGAAAUAUUGAUUUCUUUCUGGCCAAGGUCUGCCAGCAAGGGCCAGAUCAUUUGUUGGGGUAAUGCAGGACACUGUGAGCCCUGGUCCCAAUCAAUCAUUCUGACAGGGAGCAGCAAAGAGAGAGAGAGGGGGGAAAAAAAGGCGGUGAAGCUGCAGCACAUUCAUCCAGAAUCUGGAGUUACAGGAGAGCCCAGAAACGGAGGAGUGUGUGCAGUUAAUAUGAAUACUAAUGAUGUGUUUAUUGAGUGGGAAUGCUCAGCAAAUCACAGCUGACGGGAUAACAGUCGGAGAGGCUCGAGCAGGGAAUGAGGAUCUUGGAGAGAGGGUCUAUAUUUUAUUUAAGCGUCUCUUUAAGCGGGGCCGGGGAGAGAGACUCAGGUAAUGUGUUGUGUUACAACUCAGUGCUCGUUCCCCC